GGGAAAAUAUUGCAAACUGUUGUAGUGAAACAACCACCGGAAGCUUGCUGGUGGUCAGAGUUGUAUCUUUGGGUGGUUUGUAAAGGAGUGGUGGUAAAAUAUCCUUAUAAUUCAACACAAAGAAACGUCUUGGGGGAUGAACUUGAAGAAUGUGCUAUAAAUUUUCAAAGUGUCCUGAAAUUUUCAAAAGGUGUACUUGUUAUUCGACUCAGUGACAAUGAAGAAAUUUCUCUUCUAAAAGUUUGCAACCAAAUGCUUUAUCCUCAACAAAUUCCUGAGUCAAAUUACAAUGCCACUUCAGUUGCAGUAAGUUCAGAUGGGUGUGCUGUUCUCUUGUAUCGUAAAUCCAGUUCAGAUUAUCAGUUGUGGGAGAUAGCAAGUGAGAACAGGUGGGAAUUACGUUCAACUGGAACGUUGAGCGAUACUUAUCGGGUAGUUUGGUUCUGCUUAACUGGCACACAGAAUUCCCGAAGUUCGAUAUGGCUCACAUAUUUUUGGAUUUGGAAGACGAAUUGUGUGAAAACCUUUUGCUAUCUUCCAUUGACUUCCCAAGUUGUCAGCAGGGUUGCUGGCACUAUCUUCCUUUACAACAUCGCAUCGGUACUGCCAUUUAUGUAGACCCUGACAUUCUAAUUGUUUAUAAGUAUGGGUGGAUAUAUUUUAUCAAGUUGUCAGAUGGUAAAAUCGUUAUGUCCUUAUAUAUAGGUCUGAUUUCUGGUUUUCGAAACGUAUCUUCCUUUUACAUCGCCUCACGGGGCAUGCUUCUCUUAGGUGGGGCCACAAAUAUCAAUUUUUUUAAGAUUCAUAAUAUUGAAAAUUAUAUAACUUCUGUAACCAAAGAGUGGUAGAAAAUAACGCUGUUUCUUGGGUUUUUUUAGUCUCAUGAUGUAAAUGUUCACCCAAAUCAUUCACAAAAAAACAUGAAAACAUGACUAAUUUCCCCCCGUAUAUUCUGCCUGUCAGGAAUAAAUAUGUUCGGGACUCUAUUAUAUAAUAAAAGUUAACGCGGAGACCUGUUGAUGUAUAUUAUACGUUUGAACAAUAUGUUUAUUUUAAAGACAUUCACUAUCGGCCGCUUUACAUUUGGUUACUUUUCCCAGAUGUUCUUGUGAUGAGCGUACACGUAAACAAAGCCUUGAUGAAAAUGCUCAUAAAAAAUGGUCGCACUCUGCCUAUUAUUUAUUAAUAAAGUUUUGUUUCUCUACCUGAGCAAAAUCUUUAAAAUAUUUUAAGUUAACAACGAUGAUUUAUUUUUACUACAAAAAGUUAUGACUCAAGCAGGAAGGUUUCUUUUUAUCCUAUUAUGAAGUGUCUCGUUGUCAUCAAGAUAUUGCGUAAGUCAAUUCUCUAGGUGUCUCAAAAACAUAUUCCACACAUGGAAGUUGUUAAUGAAAUUGAACUUUCUUGCGGCCAUCUAAUUUUAGCCAAAAAUCAACGCCAUCUAUAGUAAUCCUUAAAGCAUUGGCGUAGCCAGCCCGACAAUUUGGUCAUGGUAUGUAAAUUUUAAAUUAUUAAUUUCUUUAGAAAUUGAUUGUUCUCACGGUCAGUGAACUCGAAAAUAUUUGCAUAGCAUGACUAAAUUGUUGGGCUGGCUACGCCACUGCCUUAGGGCCAGUUCAUAUGGGCAAAAUUUAUCCCGGUUAACGAGAUAACUUUUCGACUAGCCAAAUACUUUUAUUCUGUUCAUAUGCAUGGAGAAAUAUUAUUCCACUUACCGGGAAAGGUUUCCGGCUUUGACGUAGCACUGAACAUCAAUUGAAUUGAAAAGUUGCUGACACGACAAAAAGUUAUCCCGCUAAGCGGGAAAGUUGUGUUCAUAUGGGGAAAACAUUAUCCCGGUCACCGAGGUCUCGCCUGUCAACAAUCGAGAUCUCGGUACACGGGAAAACUUUUCGUCUCAUAUGAACGCAAUGUAACUUUUCAUAUUUUCGUAACAAGGCGAGAUCUCGCUCGUAAACUUGUCGAAAAGUUUUCUCGCUAACUGGGAUAACUUCUGCCCAUAUGAACAGGCCCUUAAAGUUAGUCUGAAAAAAUCGACGCCAUCUAGCAGCAAUCCAUCAAGUUGUCCACACAUGGAGGUUACUAAUGAAAUUGAACUUUCUUGCGAGCAUCCAACUCUAGCCGAAAUCGACGCCAUCUUAAGAAAGCAAUCCAUCAAGUUAGUCUGAGAUUUCCUAAACUUGAAAUAACUGAACUUAAGGCUGGUUUGCAACUUCAAUUUUUCAUGGUACGGAAUAUCUAGCGUAAUGGAAGUUUAAAAAUAUAUUAACAUUAAAAUAAUACUAUUAAGAGGAAACUCUUUGAGAAAGAUUUAUAUUCAAACAAUUUUGUAAAUAGAGAUUUUGGGCCUGCUCAAGUGAAGCGGUAAUUAUCGAGCUAUGUCGCUUACCUAUGAUGUCCUUUCGUAGCAAUUGCACAAAUGAUUUUUGUCUGGUUAACAAAAUGAAUUCAGCUUCUCCGGUUAUUGAGAUGUUUGCAGACUGAAACUAUAGGCAAGAAAAAUGAAAAUUUCCAGAUUGAUAUGCCAGCUUUCUUGCCAUAACAAAAUGUUGAAAAAGUGGGCUGUUUUAUUGACGAUUUUUCACUUGUUUUGUUUUGGUUUUAUAAACAAGUACGUAUAUCAAAUGCCUUCUUCAAGAAAUGACUUCUUAACAAAAGCAAGAAAAAAAAGAAAUUGCAAAAAACCUGAAUGAAGCAUAUAUGUGUUUGCAAGUGCUAAUUAUAGUAAGUACUGUUAAAUACAUUCGAAUUUAAUCCGGCAGGCGCAGGAUGAAGAUCUCCACUACAUCCAAGACGUCUAUAGGUAUGCGGGCUCGUAUCACCGGCUCAUAUGACUGCAAUGUAAUGCUGCCUUGUACUUAGUGUAUAUAUUGCGUAAACCUGCCUUGAAUGUAAGUUUUAAAAUUGUUGAAAAUAAGUAUGUCUUGUGUCAAAAACCACAAAUAUUCCAAAUAUUCGCUAUAAACGCUAAUUCGUUUACGACUGCAAUUUUAUUUAUCGAGACAAAACUGAUGAGAAAACCGUUGCGACUUAAGAUGGCGUCGUUUUUAUUGAAAAGGUCAAUCGUUUUUCCUUAAAUGAUCUUGUCAAAGAAAGAAAUGAUUAAAAAAAAAUACACACAUAAUUGAUUAUCGAAAUAAGUUUCCUUUUUGACUACAUUAUAGAGUAAGUUAAUUACAAGUACAAAAUGCACAAUUUGCAUGCAGGCAUGCAGUCACGUCAUAUUUUGAAUCACUAGGAGGCAGUUACGAUAGAAAAAUAUGACGCAACUAACACGCAAAUGAUGAAUGUUGUACUCGUAAAUGUAAUCAAAUCUACAGAUCUCUAGUGACUAUAUGGAUGGACUGUAAAUAAAGACAGAAUAAUAGUAGAAAUUAAGGCAUCAUGGGCAUUGUAUCAAAUGAGUCAAAGCAUAUACUGCUUGAAGACGAAUUUUGAUUGCAUGUAUUAAGUGCGAGACAUACAAUAGCAUGUACUUACAAGUGCUAUAUCAAUUUGAAGGCAUUUCAUUUGGCAGCUUUUCAUUAUGUAUGUCUAUAAAUUGAACAUAAAACACAUAUUUAGAUUUCUUUCAAUACUGAUUGCUAAUAUUUUUCAGUACGAUGCUGACUCAUGCUUGUGAAAUAAUGAAAUUUCCUAAUAUGUUAGUGUAUAAGAAUUGUGAGCAGUGUUUUAUCAGAUAUAAAGAUACGAGGCAAAGCUGAGUAUUAAGCAUAUAAAUGAAUAACAUGUAGCGGAUUUUCAGAAUCUUCUAGAACACACAAAAAAUAAAAUAGCUGUAAUUAUUUCAGAAUUGAUAGUUGAUUUUGUAAUCCUAGUUGAAAACACAAAUCUUUAAUUUAGUCACGUUAUAGUUUUAAAUGAUGAAGAAAUACAUUGUGUCAUUGAAAUUCGAUAAUUAUAUACAUAUUAUGUGAACAUUUACAUUAUAUAUCAAUCUGCUGAAGAACAAUAAUGAAUUNNNNNNNNNNNNNNNNNNNNC
rnacentral:lncRNA from 1 species